ensembl:lncRNA
AUGGCGGAACAAGAAGAAAUACGGAAGAAAAAUAGAAGCGACAAAACUGAAGAGAAACCCCGGAUAAAAACCUCACGAGUAUGGGAGCACUUCACUCUAGAUGCCAUGAAAAGACAGGUGACCUGCAAAAUAUGCAAAAACCAUCUAGCAUGGCAUGGAAGCACGACGUCCCUAAGUGAACAUUUGAGACGAAAACAUGUGGGGGCAGAUGCAGCAGAGGAAAGUCCGAAAAAAACAAGCAACGAUGGACAACUACAUGGGGAACAAGACACUCACCCCCAGCAAUGCACACCACUUACAAACUCUAUUCUAGAUUGUACAUUAUUUUUUAUGGAAUUUACCUCUUAUAUUUGAUGCCAAAAAAUCAUUCUGGACUGAUAUUUUGCACUGUUUAACUCAUUUUACACCGCUGACUGUGUUCAUGUGCAAUAAAAUCGAUUGCAGUCAACUGCACAAUUCUCCUAUGUUUUUCUUUUUCUUAACUGAAAUGUAUUCAUCACUUGUAUAGGUUAAAUAGCUAAACAAUAACAAACCGAUUAAUCGAUUAAUCGAAAAAACAAUCGACAGAUUAAUCGAUUAUGAAAAUAAUCGUUAGUUGCAGCCCUAGUGUGAAUGAUUGUGUUGUAAAGUGUCCUGGGGGGUUCCAGGAUUCUAGAAGGGCCAGGGUUUUUCCUGCGUUCAAAUUUGAGUGUCGGCCGCCUCCAGCUAUUUUUGUGCCACCCCAGCCUGAUUUCACUCUGCCCCCAGCUAUAUGGAUGUUAUUUUAACUGCAGUUGCAGCGUUGUGCCCGUAUAUUAAUGUUGAUGGUUGCACCACUACAGAGGCGCUGUAUCAGCAGCGGUGCACCGAAAAGCGCUAAAACCCCUGCAGAAAUAGAAAAUCAAAAAUUGCUUUUCUCGCUAGUUGAUACACAUCUAUGGUUGAUGCUAUUGUAGGCUGACCAUAUGUCCUCGUCCCUCCGGACAUACUCACUACAUUUUACAUUCAACACUUUCGUUUUCUUGUUUUUAUUGAACCAUUUUCCUGUCCUGUCUGUCUCAUCUUCUUGCAUCUCCUCUAAACUCUCCAGAAAAAACUGCUGCCUGGAUUCUUACUUUUUCACCUCAUCAGUUACUUCUGAGCAGAUCAAAGGGAUCUCCUGACUGCAAAGCGGAGUGGACGUUUCGAUGCUGCGGCAGUGAGGUGAAAUCACCGCAGCACACGAUGAGCGGAGCGCGUUAGGAACGAUUAAAAGACAGUAGCAGAGGAUAUGAACAGAUAUGAACGAUCAUGUGUUAAUGUUUCGUUGCACCACCUUGAGAAUGUAUCGUGCGCCGGAUAAAGCGGGCACACCAACGAUCAGCGCUCUGCACUUACUUUGGAUGAAGUCAGUAUAUUUUCUUUGUUUUUUUUAUUUUGUUGGGAUUUCUCUGCCUCCGUGACUCCCCUGCCUCCCUCACUUGCCUCAGUCUGCUAUUUUUCUUGUUGUUUAACCUUUUUGCAUUACUUACCCUGGAACUGAGGGGAGGGGGAAGUGAGUAAUUUGAAGGUUAAAUUGAUUCCUGUUAUCAUUCUCUUGAUUUGCUGGUUUUAACAAAUUUGAUCAUCUCAUUUUAGUGUUUUCUUAUAUAGAACCGAGUGAUUUUAAUAACGGAUAUUUUUUAUGGCUGGUUUAACUAAUAAAGGAGUGAUUUUAUUACUGACCUUUUCUUUGUUUAAACAAUAAAUGGAUUGUGAUUGUCUCACUAAAGGGAAACUGAUCUAAGUGCCUCGCUAUUUUCCUUGGGCAAAAUUCCCAAGGUGGCGUUGUCGGUAGUAAUUGUAUUCGAGUAGAUACAAUUGCCAUAUUUGGCAUCGGCAGGUUAUAAGACCACCCGAGUUCUGCCACAAUAAAUAAAUGACGCUUAGCCUGGCGGGGGAAGAAAAACCUGGCGGGCCGUCAGGCUAAUGAGCACAGGGGGACACCCUGCCAAGAUCAUCAGCACUCAUCUAUCUUAAUGCUAUUGAAACAUGUAAACCCAAAAGCAUUAUAUCCAUUGCUACCUUUCUAAUUUGAACUCAGUAACGUAUGCUGUAACUUCUGUAACUGCCUGCCUUCCUCACCGUCUGCCAGCUGCGAUUACAAGGACCAACAGAGUAGUUCCCGCUGCUUCUUCGGGAAACAGCACAAAAAAAAUGACUUGGGAUCUUGUAGGCGUGGUGCUGGGAUUUCAGCCGUAACGUGCUGCCACGGCAACGUCUAUGUAAAGCAGUGCCAUUACUGAAGAAAGACGAGGAUGAAGUAAGUUUUCGAUUUGGGAAAUGGGUAAAGAGCAAUUACACCCAUUUUUUCUCUAUACCACACACUCGUCAAAGCUGUACUGAUUAUUCUAGACUAAUAGCAGAUUGCAUAAAACAUAGUUGAGAUUUGUGAAACUUCAAGAAAACCAGAUUUAUGCAUUUUCUUAGCAUCUGGCCCACAGUGGAACUGGUCCUGCAUAAAUCUGGCUUCCUUGAGGUUUCACAAAUCACAAACUAUGUUUAAUGGGAUCUGAUAUCAGUGUAGAAUAAUCCAGUAAAGGUUUGAAGAGUAUGUGGUUUUUGAGUUAGAGCAGAUUAAAAAUGGAAGCUGGAAUCAGAAGCUAACCUCAGUCAUCAAAGAUGUGUUUACUGUCUCUGUUCACCUGACAUGAACCAAUGCUAAAUGCUAACAUCUUACCUCUGCCACCUUCAUUAUGAACGGUCCUGUGUUUUUCUCCCCAGAAGCUACAAUGUUCUGCUGAGCUGUGGUGGCCUCAUGGAGAGGGCCAUCGUCUAGUACACUGCUGCUAACCACUUAAACAUUCUCCCUCUCCUGAUAACAACAUUUUGCUUUCCUUGACGUUGAAUGUGCUACUACUAGUUUAUCCGUUUAAUUGUAGAUCCACUAGGAUAAAUACAAUAAAGUUUAUCUCUCACCAAAUAGAAUAUUUACUAAGAAAUCACAAUAUAACUAUAGACACAUUACUUUGUGUGUGUGUGCAGUGUUGGGAGUAAUGUGGUACAAAAGUAAUUAAUUACUGUAAUGCAUUGCUUUUUGCUGUAAUGUGGUAAUGUAAGGCAUUUCAGGGAAAGAAAAUGGUAAUAUUUACUCGGUACAAUUGUCAGUAACGCGGUAAUUACAAUGCAUUUUUAAACCCAGAAUCAAGAUGCGUUCCUUAAAAUUUCAAAUUGCGGGAAACCCGAAGAAAGAUCCAGUAUCUGCAUAUAUUACGUCAUUUAUGGACUCAGCUUUGCGGGCAGAGAGGACGCCGCGGUAACGGCUCAACUACUCCAGCUGCGUCCUGCACGCGGCCGCUGCAACAUUCACAAAAUCGCUCCACUAAAACAAAA